UUGUGAGACAUGAAGAGGAAGAAGACCUAAGAGCAGUGGGCAUGGGGACGUGAUGGAAGGCUAAAGCCCUCGUUCCUCGUCGGAGUCUUUGGUUUGAGUUUUUGUGAUGCCUCCUGUGCCUAUUUGUUCUUUGGUACUCCUUCCUCUUCCUUUUGGGU
rnacentral:pre_miRNA from 1 species